UCCCCCUCUCCUUACUCCCUUUCCAGCCCCAGCCUCUCUCCCAAAGUAACUUAAGACCCAUCUACACAAUACGACUAGUAGCAUACGAUUCAUAUCUUAGUACUCGAAUAAAUGAGAGUAAAGAUGUCAUAUUUUUAAUUUUCGCCAUAAACUUAGGAAUAGUGGCAUCAUCAGUCGUUUUUAUACAGCAGAAUGACAAUUGUAGCUAUACAGCUAGUCGUAUCGUGUCAUGAAUAGGCAAAUUUGGCAAACGUUUGUUCAUAUACCCACUUACAACCUUACAACCUUACAUCACUCAUAUGCGUUUUUAACUGUAUCGAAAAC